ACUAAUUGAGCACGAGAGUGCAUUGAACUUAAGCUUCAAAGGCAACGAACACAUCGUAAUUAGUA
rnacentral:tRNA from 1 species